AUGCUAUUUUUGAUGCUGGGGCUGUUUCAGCUCCUCCCAGUGCAAGUAUCUGCUUCUAAAGAUCAGGCUGCCCCCUUAAAUCCUUAUGUUUUAUCCCUUCUUGCUCAGUCUCCUGUCCUGACUCCUGCUACAGAUGCCAGAAUCCCAAACAGGACUUCUCCAUUGGAGGUCCUCAGUGACACAGAAGAGGAGAAACUCCAGACCCAUACAUGUAUCAGAAUCCAGGCUGGAAGCCAGGAUUUUGGGGGUUGUCCCCCUCUUGUGGACAAUGUAGUGAGAGCAGCAGCAACAGGAAUUAGAAGACAACAGCAAAAUACAUGAUUUCCUCCAGGAGAUUUUUGAACCUGGAAUUAAGUAAAUUCAAAAGAUGACACAGUUGUCUGCAUCAUAUUCACUGGGAGUUCAUUGGUAUCAAUGCCAGAGAAAACAACAGUAUUUCUAUCUCUUUCUCCAUUCUGAAUGGUCUGUCAGGGGGAAAAGGGGGCAUAUCCCCUGCAGAAGACAAUCCAGAAUCUGCAGAAAUUCCCUGGUAUGAGUUCAGAGACAUAUAAUAAAUUCAUUAAGAGAUGAAGAAAGCA
rnacentral:lncRNA from 1 species